ensembl:lncRNA
AUGCAUCGAUGUAUAGUUGACCGGGAAAUAUGAUUGAAAAUCCAUUGAUUUUUGGUUGACCGGGAGAUCAACGGGUGGUAAACCAACGACACAAGCUCAUUUCUGGACCCUUGGCACAAGCGUAGCUACAGAGUCUUUGAAAAAAUUAAAAAAUGUCCAGAUGGUGCGUUGUGCAGUUCAGCAAUGGUGCAACAGAAACUGUGCCAAACACAUGGGUGGAAGGGGAUAAAGUCUUCUGGCCCCCAUACCCUCCUAAGGACUCUAUUAGGCUGAAUGCAGCCAUCCUGAACAGAGAACAGCCUGGACAGGGAUGGCACACAUAUCAACCUAUCCGGCUCCUCAUAACUCGUGAUAGCCAUGAUGAGGCAGUGAGGAGCCUGGACAGAUAUGUGAAUAAAGACUGUGACACCACUGACAUCCAGUCUGAGGAGGAGAGCCACCAUGGCCUAAAAAGAAAAAGAAGACCAAAUCCAUUGUAUCAUUCCGAUGAGGAGCCCCAGAAUGAGCGGAGAUUCGCCCAAGCCCCCAAAGUUUUACUUCCAGCAAUCCAACUAGCCAGUCAGGACAGCCAACCACCACCACCUCCACGAAUACAUCAAACCCUCCAGUGCCCCAAUUCCCCCAUGUGUUCUUACCCCAAUGUCCCAGCAUUGUUCCCUGGAGAUGAAUUGGCGUUCUCCCCCAUGAAUUUACUCCAGAGGCCAUCUCCUGAAGAUGUGGCCAUGCAAAAACUUCUUACUGCAGUGACAGAGUUGUCCAAGGAGGUGAAGGACCUGCGAGAGGAGUUCAGGCAAUUCCGCCAGUCCUGCAAGUGUGGACAGUCGGAGUCUGUGGGACGGCCACUGGCGGAGCCCUUGGAGCUGCCCCUCCGCACUAUGGAGGCCCUGGACCGUAAGAGAU